AUGUUUCUUUUCACCUGUAUAAUAAUCCAAUUUUGCAUGGGAAAUUCUUUUGGUGACACAAUACAACCGUGGUUUCCAGAAAAACAUGAUUCUGAUGGUGAAAAUGUUACUCUGUCCUGUAACUACAGUCUUACUAGUGGCACUAAUGCUAAUAUCCAGUGGUAUCGCCAGUAUCCCGGAGCAAAACCAGAGUUUUUACUUCUUGUCACUGAAUAUUCUAGCAAAUCUGAGCCUGAACUUCGUCUAUAUUCAGAAGCUAAAAAAGAAAUCAAACGUGUGGAUCUGGUGAUCUUCUCUGCUGCUGUAUCAGACUCUGCUCUGUACUACUGUGAAACACAUCAGCUCUCUACAAAAACCUGUUACAAUGAGAGAAAAGAGACAAACACAGAGACAGAGAUGAAGACAAAGAGAAAGAAGCUGUAA